AUUAUCAAAUUGUUAUUACUUUCAUAGAUUCCAACAAUUGGUAGUAGCAUGCUUACCUCCAUAAAAUGUACAUUCCACAAUCAUUUGGAGUAGUAAAGAAUAUUCUAUUAUCAAAUGGCCUUAUCUUUCAUAAUUAUUGCACCAAAUAUUGGGAUGCAUAUUGAUCAAUUUAUGCCUCUUUUCCUUAUCUUUUGCCAAAUUAACAUCCAAUUUAUAUAUCUUCUUUGUCAAUGUUAAGAACAAGGUUUCAUUUCGAUCCUUCAAUACUAGUUCAUUAAGUAAGUCUUUUAUAAGUACUGAUUUU
rnacentral:lncRNA from 1 species